ACCCGUUGAUCCUGCGGGAGGUCGCUGCUAUCAGGAUUCGACUAAGCCAUGCAAGUCAAGGGGAUUCUUCGGAAUCACCGGCAAAAUGCUCAGUAACACGUCGAUAAUCUGCCCUUAAGUCUGGGAUAACCUUGGGAAACUGAGGCUAAUAUCGGAUAGGAGAUCUAUACUGGAAUGUAUUUUCUCUGAAAGAUUACGCUUAAGGAUGAGUUGGCGGCGGAUUAGAUAGUUGGCGGGGUAAUGGCCCACCAAGUCUACGAUCCGUAGGGGCCUUGAGAGAGGUAGCCCCGAGAAGGACACUGAGAUACUGGUCCUAGCCCUAAGGGGUGCAGCAGGCGCGAAACCUUUACAAUGCACGAAAGUGUGAUAAGGGGAUCCUGAGUGCUCAUGGAAAACAUGGGCUUUUGUCAAGAGUAAGUAUCUUGGCGAAUAAGUGGUGGGUAAGACUGGUGCCAGCCGCCGCGGUAACACCAGCGCCACGAGUGGGGACCACGUUUAUUGGGCCUAAAGCGUCCGUAGCCUGUUUGUUAAAUCUCUUGUGAAAUCGUAGGGCUUAACCUUACGGCUGGCAAGAGAAACUGGCAGACUUGGAACCGGGAAGGGCAUGAGGUAUUCCUAGGGUAGCGGUAAAAUGUUAUAAUCCUAGGAGGAUCACCUGUGGCGAAGGCGUCAUGCUAGAACGGAUUCGACGGUGAGGGACGAAAGCCAGGGGAGCGAUCCGGAUUAGAUACCCGAGUAGUCCUGGCUGUAAACGCUGCGAGCAAGGUGUUGCGUAAUCUUCGCGAUUGCGCAGUGUCGAAACGAAGGUGUUAAGCUCGCCGCCUGGGAAGUAUGGUCGCAAGACUGAAACUUAAAGGAAUUGGCGGGGGAGCACUACAAGGGGUGCGGCGUGCGGUUUAAUCUAAUUCAACGCAGAGAAUCUCACCAGAAGCGACGGCAGGAUGAAAGUCAGAUUGAUGGUUUUACUUGACGAGCCGAGAGGUAGUGCAUGGCCGCCGUCAGCUCGUGCCGUAAGGUGUCCUCUUAAGUGAGGUAACGAGCGAGACCUGCAUCCACAAUUGCCAGCAACAGAUUUUUCUGGAUUGGGCACAUUGUGGGGACUGCCCGGGAAACUGGGAGGAAGGCGCAGGCAACGGUAGGUCUGUAUGCUCCGAAUCUUCUGGGCUACACGCGCGCAACAAUGGUAAGGACAAUGGGACACAACUCCGAAAGGAGAAGUUAACCCUCUAAACCUUAUCUAAGUCUAGAUCGAGGAUUGUAACUCAUCCUCGUGACACUGGAAUCCCUAGUAAUCGUUCCUCAUCAUAGAACGGUGAAUAUGUCCCUGCUCCUUGUACACACCGCCCGUCAAACCACUCGAGCAGGGUUUAGGUGAGUAUCAGCUUUUUGGUUGGUCCGAACCUAAGCUCAGUGAGAUGGGUUAAGUCGUCACAAGGUA
rnacentral:rRNA from 1 species